AUUGAACGCUGGCGGCAUGCCUUACACAUGCAAGUCGAACGGUAACGGGCCUUCGGGUGCCGACGAGUGGCGAACGGGUGAGUAAUACAUCGGAACGUGCCCGAUCGUGGGGGAUAACGAGGCGAAAGCUUUGCUAAUACCGCAUACGAUCUACGGAGGAAAGCAGGGGACCGCAAGGCCUUGCGCGGACGGAGCGGCCGAUGGCAGAUGAGGUAGUUGGUGGGAUAAAAGCUUACCAAGCCGACGAUCUGUAGCUGGUCUGAGAGGAUGAUCAGCCACACUGGGACUGAGACACGGCCCAGACUCCUACGGGAGGCAGCAGUGGGGAAUUUUGGACAAUGGGCGCAAGCCUGAUCCAGCCAUGCCGCGUGCAGGAUGAAGGCCUUCGGGUUGUAAACUGCUUUUGUACGGAACGAAAAGCCUUCUUUUAAUACAGGAGGGUCAUGACGGUACCGUAAGAAUAAGCACCGGCUAACUACGUG
rnacentral:rRNA from 1 species